CUACGGCCGUCGCGAGGCGGCCGGAUGGGAUAGCAGAUGUCAGCAGACGCCAUAGUAGGUCUGUUACCGCAGACUGAAGGGC
rfam:Marinobacterium sp. ST58-10, complete genome.